rnacentral:rRNA from 1 species
GACGAACGCUGGCGGCGUGCUUAACACAUGCAAGUCGAACGGAAAGGCCCUGCUUUUGUGGGGUGCUCGAGUGGCGAACGGGUGAGUAACACGUGAGUAAGCUGCCCUUGACUUUGGGAUAACUUCGGGAAACUGGGGCUAAUACCGGAUAGGAGCUCCUGCUGCAUGGUGGGGGUUGGAAAGUUUCGGCGGUUGGGGAUGGACUCGCGGCUUAUCAGCUUGUUGGUGGGGUAGUGGCUUACCAAGGCUUUGACGGGUAGCCGGCCUGAGAGGGUGACCGGCCACAUUGGGACUGAGAUACGGCCCAGACUCCUACGGGAGGCAGCAGUGGGGAAUAUUGCGCAAUGGGCGGAAGCCUGAUGCAGCAACGCCGCGUGCGGGAUGACGGCCUUCGGGUUGUAAACCGCUUUCGCCUGUGACGAAGCGUGAGUGACGGUAAUGGGUAAAGAAGCACCGGCUAACUACGUG